rnacentral:rRNA from 1 species
UAUUGCACAGUGGGGGAAACCCUGAUGCAGCGACGCCGCGUGAGUGAAGAAGUAUUUCGGUAUGUAAAGCUCUAUCAGCAGGGAAGAAAGAAAUGACGGUACCUUAGGAAUAAGCCUCGGCUAACUACGUGCCAGCAGCCGCGGUAAUACGUAGGAGGCAAGCGUUAUCCGGAAUGACUGGGCGUAAAGGGUGCGUAGGUGGUUUGACAAGUUGGUAGCGUAACUCCGGGGCUCAACCUCGGCACUACUACCAAAACUGUUGGACUUGAGUGCAGGAGGGGCAAAUGGAAUUCCUAGUGUAGCGGUGGAAUGCGUAGAUAUUAGGAGGAACACCAGUGGCGAAGGCGAUUUGCUGGACUGUAACUGACACUGAGGCACGAAAGCGUGGGGAGCAAAC